AGUGAACGCUGGCGGUAGGCCUAACACAUGCAAGUCGAACGGCAGCACAGUAAGAGCUUGCUCUUACGGGUGGCGAGUGGCGGACGGGUGAGGAAUACAUCGGAAUCUACUUUUUCGUGGGGGAUAACGUAGGGAAACUUACGCUAAUACCGCAUACGACCUACGGGUGAAAGCAGGGGAUCUUCGGACCUUGCGCGAUUGAAUGAGCCGAUGUCGGAUUAGCUAGUUGGCGGGGUAAAGGCCCACCAAGGCACGAUCCGUAGCUGGUCUGAGAGGAUGAUCAGCCACACUGGAACUGAGACACGGUCCAGACUCCUACGGGAGGCAGCAGUGGGGAAUAUUGGACAAUGGGCGCAAGCCUGAUCCAGCCAUACCGCGUGGGUGAAGAAGGCCUUCGGGUUGUAAAGCCCUUUUGUUGGGAAAGAAAAGCAGCAGGUUAAUACCCCGCUGUUCUGACGGUACCCAAAGAAUAAGCACCGGCUAACUUCGUG
rnacentral:rRNA from 1 species